rnacentral:rRNA from 1 species
CCUACGGGAGGCAGCAGUGGGGAAUAUUGGACAAUGGGGGCAACCCUGAUCCAGCCAUGCCGCGUGUGUGAAGAAGGCCCUCGGGUUGUAAAGCACUUUCAGUGAGGAAGAACGCCUGGUGGUUAAUACCCAUCAGGAAAGACAUCACUCACAGAGGAAGCACCGGCUAACUCCGUGCCAGCAGCCGCGGUAAUACGGAGGGUGCGAGCGUUAAUCGGAAUUACUGGGCGUAAAGCGCGCGUAGGUGGCUUGAUAAGCCGGUUGUGAAAGCCCCGGGCUCAACCUGGGAACGGCAUCCGGAACUGUCAAGCUAGAGUGCAGGAGAGGAAGGUAGAAUUCCCGGUGUAGCGGUGAAAUGCGUAGAGAUCGGGAGGAAUACCAGUGGCGAAGGCGGCCUUCUGGACUGACACUGACACUGAGGUGCGAAAGCGUGGGUAGCAAACAGGAUUAGAUACCCUAGUAGUC